CUCACAGAUGAAAAGCAGCUAAGGACAAUUUCUAAUUUUUUCUUUUCAGUUUUGUUUGCCAUACUCAAACUAGAAGGGGAAAAAUGCUGAAUUUGUUUAUUCUGUUGCUGUGUUAACUUUGCAUAAACUCUAAGCAGAAUCAGUGCAUGCUCUUGGGAGGUGGCCUUUCCUAGCAGCUACUUCAGACCGUACGUGCUUAAGAUUAUCACUGCACGCAGCUAUGGAUAAUACUUUUACUGGGUGGAUAACAGGCUUCCACUGGGUGUAACAACAACAACAAAAAGUCAAAGAAUGAAGACUGUUUAAGAAUUUAAUAAGGAAGCAACACUGAGGUGAAUUCCAGAAAGUACCUGUGGGACACAAGUUGGAGAACAGACAGAUGUGAUCCUUGGAGCAAUCUUGCUUAAAAUCUGUCUUCCAUGAAAAUGCUUUGAUUGACAGUUUAAUUUUAUAAUGGUAACAAGUUCAACAGUCUUGCUACUUUGUAUGAGUUUUAAGCAAGUAAAUGGGUCCCAGAGUUUACUUCAGGCUCUCUAGCACAGUGCUGGAAAUGCAGCUUCAGUGUCAAACGAAGCGUGACCAGCAGGGCAAAGUGAGUGGCUGUUCACCUCUAUUCUUCCCUUGUGACACUUCAUUUGCAGUACUGCAUUCAGCUCUGGAGGCACCAACGUGAGGACACGAAGUUGUUGCAGUGAGCCCUGAAGAAGGCCAAAAAGAUGAUCAGAGGGGUGGAGCACGUAUAAAGGUAGGCUAAGAGUGUUGAGGCUCUGGGUAAGGAGUCUCUGGGGAGACUGUAUAGUGGCCUUCCAGUAUUCGAAAGGGGCCUCAAUCUCAAGAUGAGGAGAGAUGCUUUAUCAGGGACUGUAGUAAUAGGACAAUGGGUAACAGCUUUAAACUAAAAGGGGGUAGAUACGGAUAAGGUAUUACAAAUAAAUUCUUCAUUCAGAGGGCAGUGAGGCAUUUGCACAGCUGCCCAUGUAAGCUGUGGUGCCCCAUCCCUGGAGAUGCUCAAGGCCAGGUUGGAUGGGGCCUUGGGCAGCUGAGCUGAGGGGGGGCAGCCCUGCCCAUGGCACAGGGUGGGACUGGGUGGGCUUUGAGGUCCCUUCCAACCCAGAUGUAUGAUUCUCUGAAUUUUAGCACAUAAAUCGUUGAUAUAAAUUUUAGAAAACGUAACCAGGUAUUUUCCUUCCUCACUUACAGCAAAUGCUUGAUCCACAAAAUGGGAAGUUUGUUACUGUGGUCUCAUCAACACUGUCAUGAAGAAGCCAGUUUCAUUACAAGUAAAGGUCUACACCUUGUAACAGUGUGAUCAGACAAAGACCUGGCAUUUAUAUGAUAAUCUCUGAGCAGUGAGUGAUGCAUACUAAGCGUGUCCUUUGGUCAAGAUUGUCCCUUGCAACUGAAAAUAACAUGCUUUAACUUAAGAGUUUUGAGGAAUCUGGAAUUUAAAGCACUGAUACCAUAAAGCUAGUCACUGUUCUUUGGGGCAGGUUCUGGCACCAGGGCCUCUUCAGUACCCUAACCAUGAUGUAAAGCUGUUUUUCCUGGCAAAUGGACUGGAGAAAUAUAUGGUACAAACAACUAGUCUUCCCCAAACGAUGCUCAUCUCUAGAGCUGGAAAACAGAAUAUGCACUGCAAAAAAAGUAGUGACAUGAAACUGAUGAGCUUGACUGCUGCUGCCUACAGUAUACAUCAUUUUUCUUUUGUCCACAUUUGUAUAAAUGUCACGCAGUGCUGCUAAUAUGAAUAGUCGAUGCCAAGUCUCUUUCUCUGCUGAAGAAGAGAACAACUGCAGCAGAGAAGUGAGUGUAUGGCUCCAAACCUGACUGUAGCUGUAAAAAAAGGAUUUUGGAAUUGUUGUUGGGAAUGUCUUCAGGACCAGUAGCAGCCUCCGCUUCUUCAACAGUGCUUAAUAUGAAAGAACAACCAAAGCAGUGAUGGAUAGGGCCUUGCUAUACUGAAAUCAGAGGAGAAAAAAAGAGAACAAAUUUCCAAUUAGCUUAAAUGGUGUUGGGAUUCCUAGCAGAGGUAUAUAAUGCGGAGUGUUUUCUGAUUCACGUUCCAAUUUCUGGAUCAUAACAUCAUUCUGGGUUGUAUAAUUUCCACUGUGCUAUUAAAAAGAGGGGAAACUGAAAGCUGAACACGCAGGAUUGUAUGGUUUCUAAACUUUGCUUCAGAAUCUUACCUGUGCUUUCAUUGUUAGCCUGCUCUCUUGGGCACUCUCACUUGCUUACAUAUUCCCUUAAGACAAUCUUUACAUGAGACAUUGACAGAAUUUUUACAGAGGUGAUAAAUCUUUUUCCUAGGCUACUAAUCCACUAUAUUUUAUUGUUUACUCAAGCAUUUCUUUUCCAGACUUUGAAAGCAAUUCAGGUACAGCGUCAUUCUUACCUUCAUUUUCUUGACGUGGAGAGAAAUCUUUAAAAUUUUUAACCAGAUCUUUGCAUGAACUGUGGAUAAUGCUUGGUCUGUCUUUCAACAUCAGUUUCACAUCUCUGUUACCCUUGCUAACUGAAGAAAUGGUCUAUCUGAAUCGGAGGAACAAUGACAUGUCUUUCCUUCUUCACUAGAGAACAGUAAAAUCAAACAAAUGAAACAGAAAUAACUCUACUUUCUUAAUACUACAUGUUUUACCUCUGUAACGGUUUCAUUUAUCAUAAUAUAUGAAUAUUGACACAUCGUCAUUUACUUCUAUUCCUAAGCAUAUUUAUAAUUAUUACAGACAAGUUCAUUUAAAGCCAGAAAUUUGUGCUACUACUUUCUGCUAGAACAACGUAGAAAAACUUUCUUCUUUUAUUCCUGCCUGUCCUUAACAUGAGCAGAAUUAGCAGGUAAUGAAAUAUAUUAGGAAGGAUUGAGUGUUAACUGUAAGAACCCAGCGCUCCACUUGUUAUUUUAAAAACAAUGAGUGUCACAUUUAAGAUGAUAAUGAGCAUCAGAGCUGAAGUGAGAUUAGAAACUUUUAAGUGAGCCUUAAUUACGUUUCUCAAUUCUCAGUAAUCGCCUGACAGUAAAUCCCUACUACGCCAUUCAGAGCAGAAUACGAGAGGGCUCUUUGUGUUUUCCUUUCUUAAAAUACUGCAAGGGCUUUCUGCAGGAUUUUCCUGUUAUCUUUUAUUCACCAUGUCACUAAUUAAGGGUUCAAAACUAAGUGGCCGAGGAUAUGCCUCCUCUAAUUACACAUCAUAAACUGUCUACUGUAUUUUGUAGCUUUAUUCUGAGUUUCUCAGGCUACGUUUAGAAGCAAAAGGUCUCAAAUUCAGUUUGAUAUCAUGAAUAAUUCACUUAUUUCCUCGUACUCGCUUCUAAGAAACUGCCUAGGUUUAAUAUACUGUAGUCAAUAGGCAGCACCUAGUGGUCUUGAAAUGCAUACACUUUUCAAGUUCUUAGCAGUUCAACAUCUCAAAAUAAGCACUUCAUGAACUAAAAGCAAUAAUUAGGUUUCAUAUGUGUAUGUGUGCUUGUAUAUAUGUUUGCAGGGGAAAGAAAAUAUUCAAUUUCUGACUCUUUCUGAGGUCUAGAUCUUCAUGUAUAGGGAAUUUUUUCUGUAUUAAUUCAGAGAUUUAUAUAAGAUAAGAAAAAUCUUGAGGUUUUUAAAAGUCACUUGUUACAAUAGAGCUGAUCUAUAUAAUGAC